rnacentral:rRNA from 1 species
GACCUCAAAUCAGGUAGGGAUACCCGCUGAACUUAAGCAUAUCAAUAAGCGGAGGAAAAGAAACCAACAGGGAUUGCCCCAGUAACGGCGAGUGAAGCGGCAAAAGCUCAGAUUUGAAAUCUGGUGUCAUCUUGGCAUCCGAGUUGUAAUCUGUAGAGGAGUUUUUAGGAGUAUUGCUUUGGUUAAAGUUCCUUGGGAAAGGGCAUCAUAGAGGGUGAGAAUCCUGUUUAUGACCUUUGCACAUCUCUAUUAUAAAUCU